UAAUAAGAAAUAAAUAUUAUAAUUAGUUUCGACCUAAUCUUUGAAGUGCCCCCCCCCCUUCCUUAUUUU
rnacentral:tRNA from 1 species